CGUCUGUGCGUGUGUGCGCGCGCGCGUGCGCCUGUUUUAGCGUGGCUGCUUGCAAGUGUUUGUGUCGGUGUGAACCUGCAGGCGUGUGCGCCGUUGUGCAUCACAAACUGCUGCGAUCCCCAACAGACAGGAACUAGGAGCUCAGGUCUGUGGGCAGCUUGGUUAAAGCCGUUCAUGCCUCGUCACCGUGAGCCGUCUCCACCGCCUCUGUGCAGCUACCGUAAAGGGACAACGCGGUGAGCGAUCCAGUCCGGAGGAGGCGGGCUCGCAUCCCUGGCGGCCCCUUCUUCACCUCCAGUGGGGCACUCGGGGUUUUGGGAAAGGACCUGAAUGGAUCCUCAGCAUCACAGAGGACGGGAAACUUUGGCUUCUGGUGACGUUUUGGACUAACCUAAAGGCAGAUGGUGGUCUGCUGUCACGGACAGAGCUCGCUCCAAAAAGUUGGCGGUGCCCGUCUCUGGGAGUGAAUGGUCGCUGGGUGGACUGGACCCGAAGGGACCGCCUGGCUUCACUGACAAUU